rnacentral:rRNA from 1 species
UACGGAGGAUGCGAGCGUUAUCCGGAUUUAUUGGGUUUAAAGGGUGCGUAGGCGGGUUAUCAAGUCAGCGGUAAAAUCGUGGAGCUCAACUCCAUCCAGCCGUUGAAACUGAUGAUCUUGAGUGAGUGAGAAGUAAGCGGAAUGCGUGGUGUAGCGGUGAAAUGCAUAGAUAUCACGCAGAACGCCGAUUGCGAAGGCAGCUUACCGGCGCUCAACUGACGCUGAGGCACGAAAGUGCGGGUAUCGAACAGG